rnacentral:rRNA from 1 species
UUUAAAGUCUGGCCUGCUCAAUGAGUGUUUAAAUAGCCGCAGUAUUUUGACUGUGCAAAGGUAGCAUAAUCAUUAGUUUCUUAAUUAGAAGCUGGAAUGAAGGGUUUGAUGAAAAAUUAACUGUCUUUUAUUUAUUAUUUUAGAAUUUUAUUUUUAAGUUAAAAAGCUUAAAUUUUAAACAUAGACGAGAAGACCCUAUAGAGUUUUAUUGAUUAAUCAUUUUUAUUUGAUGUUUGAUUUUCUUGGUUGUUCAAUUUUGUUGGGGUGAUGGGUAAAUUUUUUAAACUUUAUUUUUUUUAUUCGUUAAUUUACGUAUACUUGAUCCUUUAUUUGGAUUAUAAGAUUAAAUUACCUUAGGGAUAACAGCGUAAUUUUUUUUGAAAGCUCUUAUUGAUAAAAAAGUUUGCGACCUCGAUGUUGGAUUAAAAUUAAUAUUUGGUGCAGUAGUUUAAGUAUUAGGUCUGUUCGACCUUUAAAAUUUUACA